AAGGUGAGCUAUAUCUCCCUGCAGUUCUCACCUGGUUUCCCACUGACACUAAGCAGGGUUGUGCCUGGCCACUACCUGGAUGGGAGACCUCCUGGGGAAAACUAAGCUUGCUGCU
rnacentral:rRNA from 1 species